AAUUAGCAGCGUCGAACCGAACAAGCUCUGAUAAAUUUCCAAUCUCCGGUGGAAGACCAUUUUCAAAAGCGUUGUAAUAUCCGAUGUAAAGUUCACGAAGAGUCGUUAGGUUUCCGAUCUCCGGAGGGAUUUUACCGGUUAGCUCGUUACCGGAAACCGCUAAGUAUUCGAGAACAGGCCAGGUUCCGUACGUCGCCGGGAUUUUGCCGGAGAAGUAAUUCCCACCGAGGUGAAGAUGACGGA